AUUGAACGCUGGCGGCAUGCCUUACACAUGCAAGUCGAACGGCAGCACGGGAGCAAUCCUGGUGGCGAGUGGCGAACGGGUGAGUAAUAUAUCGGAACGUGCCCAGUCGUGGGGGAUAACGUAGCGAAAGCUACGCUAAUACCGCAUACGAUCUAUGGAUGAAAGCGGGGGAUCGCAAGACCUCGCGCGAUUGGAGCGGCCGAUAUCAGAUUAGGUAGUUGGUGAGGUAAAGGCUCACCAAGCCGACGAUCUGUAGCUGGUCUGAGAGGACGACCAGCCACACUGGGACUGAGACACGGCCCAGACUCCUACGGGAGGCAGCAGUGGGGAAUAUUGGACAAUGGGCGAAAGCCUGAUCCAGCAAUGCCGCGUGAGUGAUGAAGGCCUUCGGGUUGGUU
rnacentral:rRNA from 1 species